GUGUGACAUAUAAUCUAAUCCCUGGACGGGACGCUCCUUCAACAACAACAGCUAGUCAGACACCUCGGUAGCUUUCUAGCAAACAUAGCUACAACAUUCACGCUCUUUACACUGUUUUGGUGUAUAUUAGUCGCUGUAUAUUAAACACACUUCGGCUGUAUGUACUUGUUGGCCCAUUUAAUUAUAUAUUUACGUUGUUUGUCAGCUAGCUGGUUUGCUAGGUUAGAGCUAGGCUAGUCGCUAAUGCUAGAUAGCUAACACCUCCGACCAUGAGUUCACUAAGCUACUCUCCUCCUGAUAAAGAAGAGGAGGUCUGCUGGACGGAGAAAGAAGCUCUUGUGAAAGAGGAGGGGGAAGAGAAAGAUGUUACAAUACAAAAACAAGUAGAGGGUGAGGCUGUUACCAUGAGAAAGAGGAGUUCAGAGUGAAAGCGGAGGAUGCAGUUUUUGGAGUGAAAGAGGAGGGGGAGAUGACUGUCACAUUGGAGGAAGAGGAGAAGGUUGGAGAUUUGUUUAACACCAGGAACAGCACCCUCUUUGAAGAAGUAAGAGGUGAAGAUCUCAUGCACACGGAUUGCCUCUCUUGCUGCGUUGUUGAACCCCAUCCUUGAAACAUCCUGCAGAGCAGCAGACUCCUCCUCUGGGACACGGCGGCGAGCUGCAGAUCCCCUCCUGGUCCUCGUGUCCAUCCUCAUGAAGUUGCGCAGGACACAGGGGCAGUCAAGAAAUGGAACAGCAAGGCCACAGAACAUGACAUAAGCAGAGCUGUGGGAGACCACCUCAAGCCCCUGGUAGAGUCGGGGGUGGUGUUUACCACUCCACCACACCUUCAGCAGGCUUGAAAAAUGGGGUUGAUCCCCUUGUCUGUGUCAAUGUUUAAUAGUUGAAUCCUUUGAUGUAGUAAAUGAUUUCAACAUGCACUAUUUUUGAUAUACUUCAUUUAUACUGUUUUUCAUACUAAGAUGGACCAAGAUAUAUUUGUUGUUUAAAAAAAAGUAUAAAGUAAAAUGUUUAAACUAGGCAAGAACAAAUUCUUAUUUACAAUGAUGUCUACAGGGGAACAGUGGGUUAACUGCCUUGUUUAGGGGCAGAAUGACAGAUUUUUACCUUGUCAGCUCAGGGAUUCGAUCCAGCAAACUUUCAGAUACUGACCCUACGCUUUAACCACUAGGCUACCUGCCGCCCCAAAUAUGUGUUUCAAAAGUCUGUUGAUUGGUCGGUCUUUGGGUUCAUUCGUAUCGCAAUAUGUUCAAAUCAAGCUUUAUUUAUAUAGCAAAUUUCAGACAUGGCUUCACAGAAAGAAAAACACAGAAGAUUAAAUGGAAGACUAAUGAGCAUUCUAAAUGCCAUUGAUUAAAAUAUUAACAAUAUCCAACCCAAAAUAUAAACUUGUUUUACUCCAUUGUUUGUUCUUACGUUUCCCAGCAAGAAAACCAAAAUGACGCUUAUAUAAAAGAGUGAACUAACAGAGUCACUGACAACAACAACUAAACAGGUGGGGUUUAGGAGGUGUUCUGAAAGACACAAUGGGGGUGUCCACCAGUAACAACAACUGAAGACACCCACUAAAUCUGCCCAAGAACAGGGAAACAAUAGAAAAACCCACACCAAACUUAAAGACAGGAAGCAAACCAAAAAGGUGGAGCAACUAAAGGUGUUGACUCUCCACAUCUAUCAAUAGCACUGGGCCAGACACUCUUAAAUAGAACCUGGACCAGAUCAGGUGAAACACCUUCCCACUAACGAGAUGGAAAAGCCAGCACAGGUGUAACACAUACUGACUAACGAGAUGACACCAAUCAGUGCGUCCUACGUGCUAACGAGCUAUAUGUGCUAAAGUCCAACCUCAAAACAUAAAUGGAAAAACCAAAGCCUGUAACAAUUUCACCC